UGGGGAAUAUUGCACAAUGGGGGAAACCCUGAUGCAGCGACGCCGCGUGAGUGAAGAAGUAUUUCGGUAUGUAAAGCUCUAUCAGCAGGGAAGAAAAUGACGGUACCUGACUAAGAAGCCCGGCUAACUACGUGCC
rnacentral:rRNA from 1 species